AGUGCAGCUGGGCGAGCUCGCGCGGGCGCCGCCGCCGCCUCUGCUGCUGCCCACCCCGCCGCGCCGCCGGCGCUGCCGGUCUUGCAGGCGGCCGCCGGGGAGGGGCGGCCGAGAGAGCGGAGCACGAGGAGGCGGGGGCGGCAGAGAAGUGAUGCUGGCGCCGGGGAUCGGGGCAGCGGCAGCGGAGCAGCAGCAUCUUCGGGACCCUGGCUGCAGCGUCCCUGUGGCCCGCGCGCCAGCCCAGCGGCCGGAGACCACGCGCCCCGCGGACCCAUUAGAAACGCUUCAAGAGCUGCUCAGUCCAGGAGUGGAGGGAUUUUGUGAAGACACAGAUGCUCCCUAAAAGGAGUGCAGAAAUUUUCAUCAUAGGGAGAAUGAAGACAGUGUGUGACAACCUGAAAAAGACAAGUCUUUGGUUAUCAGAAAAACUACCUUUAAAGCUAAUUUUGAAAACAGAUCAUUUAGAUAAAAUAACAUGGAGAAGAUGAAAAGAAAAAUCAAGUUUACAACAGAUUCAGAGAACCUUGAAGUUGAUUAUGAUUUUAAGAAUAACAGAGGAGCCAAGAU
rnacentral:lncRNA from 1 species